GAUGAACGCUGACAGAAUGCUUAACACAUGCAAGUUCUUGGCAAAGCUGUGCUUGCACAGCCAAGCCAAGGCGGACGGGUGAGUAACGCGUAAAGAACUUGCCCCGCAGACAGGAAUAACAGACGGAAACGACUGAUAAAACAUGAUAUAAUAGCCGGUACGCAUGUGCCCGGCAAUGAAAAGAGAUGCUGCGGGAGAGCUUUGCGUCCUAUUAGCUGGUUGGCGGGGUAACGGCCCACCAAGGCGAUGAUAGGUAGCCGGCCUGAGAGGGUGAACGGCCACAAGGGGACUGAGAUACGGCCCUUACUCCUACGGGAGGCAGCAGUGGGGAAUAUUGGACAAUGGGGGCAACCCUGAUCCAGCAAUUCUGUGUGCACGAAGAAGGUUUUCGGAUUGUAAAGUGCUUUCAGCAGGGAAGAAGAGAAUGACGGUACCUGCAGAAGAAGCGACGGCUAAAUACGUGCCAGCAGCCGCGGUAAUACGUAUGUCGCAAGCGUUAUCCGGAAUUAUUGGGCAUAAAGGGCAUCUAGGCGGCCCUGUAAGUCUAGGGUGAAAACCUGCGGCUCAACCGCAGGCCUGCCCCGGAAACUAUAGGGCUGGAGUACGGAGAGGUGGACGGAACUACACGAGUAGAGGUGAAAUUCGUAGAUACGUGUAGGAAUGCCGAUGAUGAAGAUAGUUCACUGGACGGUAACUGACGCUGAAGUGCGAAAGCUGGGGGAGCAAACAGG
rnacentral:rRNA from 1 species